rnacentral:rRNA from 1 species
GACGAACGCUGGCGGCGUGCUUAACACAUGCAAGUCGAACGGAAAGGCCCUGCUUUUGUGGGGUGCUCGAGUGGCGAACGGGUGAGUAACACGUGAGUAACCUGCCCUUUACUUUGGGAUAACUUCAGGAAACUGGGGCUAAUACCGGAUAGGAGCUCCUGCUGCAUGGUGGGGGUUGGAAAGUUUCGGCGGUUGGGGAUGGACUCGCGGCUUAUCAGCUUGUUGGUGGGGUAGUGGCUUACCAAGGCUUUGACGGGUAGCCGGCCUGAGAGGGUGACCGGCCACAUUGGGAGUGAGAUACGGCCCAGACUCCUACGGGAGGCAGCAGUGGGGAAUAUUGCACAAUGGGCGGAAGCCUGAUGCAGCAACGCCGCGUGCGGGAUGACGGCCUUCGGGUUGUAAACCGCUUUAGCCUGUGACGAAGCGUGAGUGACGGUAAUGGGUAAAGAAGCACCGGCUAACUACGU